rnacentral:rRNA from 1 species
AUGAAUCCCGAAUAUGACUACCUCUUCAAGCUGCUGCUCAUUGGGGACUCGGGCGUGGGGAAGUCUUGCCUGCUGCUGAGGUUUGCGGAUGAUUCAUAUCUGGAGAGCUAUAUCAGUACUAUUGGUGUUGACUUCAAAAUCCGCACCGUUGAGCAAGAUGGAAAGACGAUAAAGCUGCAAAUUUGGGAUACUGCUGGACAAGAGCGAUUUAGGACCAUCACAAGCAGCUACUACCGUGGUGCCCACGGCAUCAUUGUUGUGUAUGAUGUGACUGACCAGGAGAGCUUCAACAACGUCAAACAGUGGCUUAAUGAAAUUGACAGGUAUGCUAGUGAAAAUGUGAACAAGCUUUUGGUGGGGAACAAGUGCGAUCUAGCUGAGAGCAGAGUGGUUUCUUACGAGGCUGGCAAGGCCCUUGCCGAUGAGAUUGGAAUACCAUUCCUGGAAACCAGUGCCAAGGAUGCAACAAAUGUGGAGAAGGCAUUUAUGACCAUGGCUGCAGAGAUAAAGAACAGGAUGGCAAGCCAACCGGCUGGAAAUGCCAGCAAGCCUGCCACCGUGCAAAUGCGGGGUCAGCCUGUUGCCCAGCAAAACGGAUGCUGCUCGUCUUGA